UCCAGACUCCUACGGGAGGCAGCAGUGGGGAAUAUUGGGCAAUGGGCGCAAGCCUGACCCAGCAACGCCGCGUGAAGGAAGAAGGCCCUCGGGUUGUAAACUUCUUUUAUCAAGGACGAAACAAAUGACGGUACUUGAUGAAUAAGCCACGGCUAACUACGUGCCAGCAGCCGCGGUAAUACGUAGGAUGCGAGCGUUAUCCGGAUUUAUUGGGUUUAAAGGGUGCGUAGGCGGGAUGCCAAGUCAGCGGUAAAAAUGCGGUGCUCAACGCCGUCGAGCCGUUGAAACUGGCGUUCUUGAGUGGGCGAGAAGUAUGCGGAAUGCGUGGUGUAGCGGUGAAAUGCAUAGAUAUCACGCAGAACUCCGAUUGCGAAGGCAGCAUACCGGCGCCCAACUGACGCUGAAGCACGAAAGCGUGGGUAUCGAACAGGAUUAGAUACCCCUGUA
rnacentral:rRNA from 1 species